ACGAGGGGUGCAAACGUUAUUCGGAAUUAUUGGGCGUAAAGGGUGUGUAGACGGCUUAUUAAGUCAAUUGUUAAAUCCUCCGGCCUAACCGGAGAUCUGCGGUAGAAACUGAUAAGCUAGAGGGUGGAAGAGAGAAGUGGAAUUCUCGGAGUAGCGGUAAAAUGCGUAGAUCUCGAGAGGAACACCGAUGGCGAAGGCAGCUUCUUGGUCCAUUUCUGACGUUGAAACACGAAAGCGUGGGGAGCAAACAGG
rnacentral:rRNA from 1 species